rnacentral:tRNA from 1 species
GCAGCGUGGCUCAGUGGAAAGAGCACAGGCUUGGGAGUCAGAGGACGUGGGUUCUAAUCCCACCUGUCUGCU